GGAUUGAACUGAAUGGAGUGAAUACUAUAGGAAACUAUGAUGGAACCGCUUGUUUGUCAAGAUGUGGAUCAUCAACAGAAGCAAAACUUAUUAUCAAGGUUCCCAAGUGAUGAAUGAUGAAGGGCAUAUGGAGAGAGCGUCUCCAUCAGACUUGCUCUUUGAGUGGCACCAUGACCAGGACACCCCCUACCUGUCUGCAUUAGCCAGAAAGCACAAGGGCAAGGGGAAAGAUGCCAAGAUGACGCCACACUCCCUGGAGGAUAUGAAAGGUAAAACUCGAUGUAAAUUAUUUUCAUUUACCUGAUUUACCCAUAUGCCCAACAAUGGCAAGAUCCUCUCACAGAAGAAAGAGGGGCUAGAGAAUAGAGUGAUUUGGCGUGCUCUAUAAUUUUCAGUUACUUUUAGUUUUUCUCUUUUCUUUUUAGUUAUUCAGGACCUCGAGGUAUAAAACAGCAUUUUGACUUUCUUUAGCGGAAUGUCAAAAGGAGUCUCCCAUGACAGAGUACUACUAGCUCUUCGCCCUCCCAGUUUAAUAACAUAAUUUUAUGUGAUCUUUCCCUUCUUUUUUCUGCUUAAGAUCUAGGCUCUUUAUAGAAGCCUAGAUCAGAUUCACAGAUAUCAAACAUUUAAAAUAUGUAUAUCUUCCUUAUUAUCAUGAAAACCACUUCCAGGCUUAAAUGUGUAGUAGAAGGUUUUGUUUUGUUUUGUUUUGUUUUUGCAUGUGAAGAUACAAUUUGAAAAUGUCCCCCAAGUCUAAAUCAAUAAAAAACUACUCUCCCAAGAAGCUAUUGAACCA
rnacentral:lncRNA from 1 species